UUCCGGUUGAUCCCGCCGGACCUGACUGCUAUCGGAUUGAUACUAAGCCAUGCGAGUCUUUGUAGCAAUACAAGGCAGACGGCUCAGUAACGCGUAGUCAACCUACCCUAUGGACGGGAAUAACCUCGGGAAACUGAGUAUAAUGCCCGAUAGAACACUAUACCUGGAAGGGUUUGUGUUCCAAAUGAUUUAUCGCCGUAGGAUGGGACUGCGGCCUAUCAGUUUGUUGGUGAGGUAAUGGCCCACCAAGACUAUUACAGGUACGGGCUCUGAGAGGAGUGGCCCGGAGAUGGGUACUGAGACACGGACCCAGGCCCUAUGGGGCGCAGCAGGCGAGAAAACUUUGCAAUGUGCGAAAGCACGACAAGGUUAAUCCGAGUGAUUUGUGCUAAACGAAUCUUUUGUUAGUCAUAGAACCACUAACGAAUAAGGGGUGGGCAAGUUCUGGUGUCAGCCGCCGCGGUAAAACCAGCACCUCAAGUGGUCAGGAUGAUUAUUGGGCCUAAAGCAUCCGUAGCCGGCUCUGUAAGUUUUCGGUUAAAUCUGUACGCUCAACGUACAGGCUGCCGGGAAUACUGCAGAGCUAGGGAGUGGGAGAGGUAGACGGUACUCGGUAGGAAAGGGUAAAAUCCUUUGAUCUAUUGAUGAC
rnacentral:rRNA from 1 species